GGAGUUUUCGGCAAUGGGGGAAACCCUGACCGAGCAACGCCGCGUGAGCGAUGACGGCCCUAUGGGUUGUAAAGCUCUGUUGUAAGCCAUGAAUGACAGCUUGAGGAAAUGCAAGUUGUUUGACGACAGCUUACCAGAAAGCCACGGCUAACUACGUGCCAGCAGCCGCGGUAAUACGUAGGUGGCAAGCGUUAUCCGGAUUUAUUGGGCGUAAAGCGAGCGCAGGCGGUCUUUUAAGUCUAAUGUGAAAGCCUUCGGCUUAACCGAAGAAGUGCAUUGGAAACUGGAAGACUUGAGUGCAGAAGAGGACAGUGGAACUCCAUGUGUAGCGGUGAAAUGCGUAGAUAUAUGGAAGAACACCAGUGGCGAAGGCGGCUGUCUGGUCUGUAACUGACGCUGAGGCUCGAAAGCAUGGGUAGCGAACA
rnacentral:rRNA from 1 species